UCCAAUAGCGUAUAUUAAAGUUGUUGCGGUUGAAACGCUCGUAGUUUGACUUCUGCUCCGGACCGGCGGUCCGCCUUAGCGGCGGCUACUGCCGGGUUCCGAGCUGUGUCCCCGCCGGCGCGCAUGGGGUUUUUUAUGCCCUUAACCGGGUGUCCCCCUGUGGCCGGCACGUUUACUUUGAAAAAAUUAGAGUGCUCAGAGCAGGCUGGUUUUUGCUUACAGCCCGAAUGGUCGUGCAUGGAAUGAUGGAACAGGACCUCGGUUCUAUUUUGUCGGUUUUUCGGAACCCGAGGUAAUGAUUAAUAGAAGCAGACGGGGGCAUUCGUACUGCGACGCUAGAGGUGAAAUUCUUAGACCGUCGCAUGACGACCUACUGCGAAAGCAUCUGCCAAGGAUGUUUUCAUUGAUCAAGAACGAAAGUUAGAGGUUCGAAGGCGAUCAGAUACCGCCCUAGUUCUAACCUUAAACGAUGCUGACUAGCGAUCCGCCGCAGUUAUUCCCAUGACCCGGCGGGUAGCUUCCGGGAAACCAAAGUCUUUGAGUUCCGGGGGAAGUAUGGUUGCAAAGCUGAAACUUAAAGGAAUUGACGGAAGGGCACCACCAGGAGUGGAGCCUGCGGCUCAAUUUGACUCAACACGGGGAAACUCACCAGGCCAGGACACCGGAAGGAUUGACAGAAUGAAGGCUCUUUCUCGAUUCGGUGGGUGGUGGUGCAUGGCCGUUCUUAGUUGGUGG
rnacentral:rRNA from 1 species